ACGCUCGACACCUACGGGAGGCAGCAGUGGGGAAUAUUGCACAAUGGGGGAAACCCUGAUGCAGCGACGCCGCGUGAGUGAAGAAGUAAUUCGUUAUGUAAAGCUCUAUCAGCAGGGAAGAAAGUGACGGUACCUGAGUAAGAAGCCCCGGCUAACUACGUGCCAACAGCCGCGGUAAUCUGAGCGGGCUGGCAAGGC
rnacentral:rRNA from 1 species